rnacentral:rRNA from 1 species
CCUUGUGCCUUUAGAGAAGAGGAACUACCCAGUUAACCAUUCCGAACCUGGAAGUCAAGCUCUUCAUCGCUGAUAAUACCUGUCUCUUWUACAAGAGUGGGAAUGUAGGUCGGUGGCAGGGA